UUAUUUUUUCUGUCGCUUGAUUGCUGAGGCCGAGAUGUCUAGUAGUAUGUUGAGAAGACGUGGUGAGGGUGGACAUCCCUGUCUCUCGUUCCUGAUGUUCGAAGAAAGGCUCCCAGUGUUUCCACAUUGUGGAUGAUAAUUUGCCACGGGCUUUUCGUAGAUGGAUUUGAAGAUGCUGAGGGACGUUCCCUCUAUCCCUGUACUCUGAAGGGUUUGGAUCUGCCAUGGAUGCCGUAUUUUGUCAAAUGCUUCCUCUGCGUCUCUUGAGAGGAUCAUCUGGUUCUUGUUUUCUCUCUUGCAGAUCUGAUGAAGCCCAUCGAGUGUUCUCCGAGUGCUGAAGCAGCCUUGCACCCUGGCGAUUAACCCCACUGGGUCGUGAUCUGAUGAAGCCCAUCGAGUGUUCUCCGAGUGCUGAAGCAGCCUUGCACCCUGGCGAUUAACCCCACUGGGUCGUGAUCUGAUCAGUCACAUGGAGUGUUUGACAAGUGUUGAACCAGCCUUGCAUCCCGGGGAUAAAUGCUACCUGGUCACGGUGAGUAACUUCUCAAUGUACCGUUGGAUCCUAUUGGCUCGUAUAUUGUUGAGAACGUUUGCAUCCGUGUUCAUCG